GUCAGUAAUGUGGAAACGUCUCUCUCGCAGAUAGCCUACAUAGGACUCCAAAGCACUCAAGUCGCAUAUUCUCGCACAUCUGAAUGAACAUCAUGACCAGAAAUCGGCACAUCCACUUCCGGCGAAACAUCACUCAGCCUCCAUUAUUUUAAGCCGAUGCCUCCAAGACCUUCCACGUCUGAAUAUCGGUGACGUACACAGGAUUGUCGACUCCUGUGCAAUGGCUCCAAACUCCAAGAGGAAUAAAGGAUUCAAUUUUUUUACAUUUCAUCCUAUAUCCACAAUUAUUAGGGUGGUCCUGAAAGAUUCAAACCCUGUGGAGUUAAUACAUCAUAGAUGCUCAUGUAUUGCGGGAGCAGCACUUUGCAACUACUGUGUUGCAUUGUUGUUUCAGUCUGCACAUUGUAGUCAGCUGAAUUUGUCUGCAGUUCCCCCUGUCUUAAGCUGCACUGAGGGAGAACAACAAUGGCACAAGCCUAGAACUUUGGGUAUAAAGCCAGGCCCAGUGGACAGGAUGGUUGUACUCUCUGCUAAACCCAAGACUCAAGCAACAACAGAGGGAGUCAAGUGACCGAGGCCUACAAAGAGUUCCCCCCGGCUGAUUAACCAAUAAUCUGCAGUAUGGCCAUCAGCGGUGACGUCCUUCUCACCAACUCAAGCCUCAGGAUGGUCCAAAGUGGAAGCCCACUGUCUUAUCAGCAGCCAGCAGCAACAAGGAGAGACCACUCCUUUCAUGUUGCCCCACCAUGGCCCUCUCUACCCCUUCAGGGAUACCAUCUAGAUGCAAUUUGGGAAUACUGCCCAAUAAAACGCGUCAAUCAUUACCCCUGUGGAUUUGUAAUCCACCCUGAUGCUCCCUGGUUGUGGGCGUCUCCAGACGGACUUGUUUUUGAUCCUUCAGAGUCAGUUCAUUUUGGGCUUAUAGAAAUGAAAUGCCCCAACCUAAAAAGUUAUGUGGACUGUACCUUAAAAUUUAAUCUGGCAAUGUGGAACUAAAGAAAUCACAUGCAUAUUACUGGCAGGUACAGGGUCAGAUGCUCAUUACCGGUUUGACAUGGUGUGAUUUUGUCAUUUCGGUUGAAGAUGACCUGCUGAUUCAGCAGAUUUACAGGGACAAUGAUGUAUGCAAAGUCAUCAGA